rnacentral:ncRNA from 1 species
AAAUAAAUUUUUAUGAUUUAUAAAUUUUAUUAUAAGUUUAAUUUAUAUAUAAAUUUUAGUGUAUAAUUUAUUGUAUUUAAAUAAUUUAAUUAAAUUGAUUUUAGUAAAUAAUAUUAAAAAUUUAAGAAAUUAAUAUUUAGUAAUAUUAAAAUUAAAUAACAAAUUUUGUGCCAGCAGUUGCGGUUAAACAAAAAUUUAUAUAAAAUUUUUCAGUAAUAAUAAAUAAUUUAAUUUUUUUUUUAAAGAUAAAAUUAUUAAGUGAAAUUUUAAUUUUAUAAAAAAAAUAUUAAAUAUUAUGAUUUUAAAAAAUUUUAUUAUUAAACUAGGAUUAGAUACCCUAUUAUAAAAAAAAUUAAUAAAAAAUACUAAAAUAGUAAAUGAUAUUUUAUUGAAACUUAAAUAAUUUGGCGGUAUUUUAGUUCAUUUAGAGGAAUCUGUCUAAUAAUUGAUAGUCCACGAAUAAAUUUACUUAAUUUAAAAUUUUAUAUAUCGUUGUUAAAAAAAUAUUUUUAAAAAAAAAUAAUAUUUAAAAAUUAUAAUGAAAAUUAGUUCAGAUCAAGAUGUAAAUGAUAAUUAAGAAUAUGAUGGAUUACAAUAUUAAUAAAUAAAUGGAUAUUAAUUUGAAAAUUUAAUUAAAAGUGGAUUUAAAUGUAAUUUUAUUUAAUUUAAUAAAAUGAUUGAAUAUUAAAAUAUGUACAUAUUGCCCGUCACUUUCAUUUAAAAAUUGGAAUAAGUCGUAACAAAGUAGAGGUACUGGAAAGUGUUUCUAGAAAGAA